rnacentral:rRNA from 1 species
UGGUCAUAUGCUUGUUUCAAAGACUAAGCCAUGCAUGUCUAAGCACAGCUUGUAAAAGUGAAGCCGCGAAUAGCUCAUUACAACAGCCGUUGUUUAUUGGAUCUCCAUUCUCUACUUGGAUAACUGUGGUAAUUCUAGAGCUAAUACAUGCGACCAAGGCCUGAACUUACGUGAUGGCUGCAUUUAUUAGAACAAGACCAACCGGCUUCGGCCGUUCUCUGGUGACUCUGAAUAACUGAGUGAAUCACGUGGUCUAGCACCGGUGAUGUAUCUUUCAAGUGUCUGCCUUAUCAACUUUCGAUGGUAGUUUAUGUGCCUACCAUGGUUGUAACGGGUAACGGAGAAUAAGGGUUUGACUCCGGAGAGGGAGCCUGAGAAACGGCUACCACUUCUAAGGAAGGCAGCAGGCGCGCAAAUUACCCAUUCUCGGCACGAGGAGGUAGUGACGAAAAAUACCAAGCUGGGAUCCAUUGGGUUCCGGCAUUGGAAUGAGAACAAUAUAAAUCUUUUAACGAGGAUCUAGUG